CAAUUUAAUAAAUACAACCAUUGAUUAAAUAAUUGUAAUGUUCAUGACUUUAUCAUUUGGUUGAUUGGAUUAUUUUAAGGGUUGUUGUAUUGUAAAACAGUAAACAAAUAAUCAAUAAGAGUAAAAAACCUUUUGAUUUUCCUGUGAAGGGAGAGAAUUUUGAAAAUGAAUAUCCUGUCCUGGUAGAAUCUAGAGUAAAUAAUUUUUACUGGACAGGACAAAAAUGAAUAUUCUUCAACAAGAAAUGCAGGAAUCAAGUAAAAAUAAUAAUUAAGAAUGCAUAGCAACAGAUGAAAAUGAAUAUUCAAACUGCAAAAAAUCUUAUUCCCUAACCAGAAUAUCAAAAAGUUGUUCCCUUACCUCUAAAAAUCACCAUAUAAAAUGAUGUACAAAAGCAGUAGUUAAUAUUAGGAUCCUAUAGGGUAGCGCCUUAGGUCACAAGGUCACAUCAGUCGAAAAGGUGCCCGCCAAAGCUUUCAGGUAGGAGGUCAAAUUUGACUAUGUUGGAGGGCUUCAUUAAUAUGGUGUUUAAAUAUGAUAUAUAUUGAUUGUUUGCAUGUCUAUCAGAUUUUUUAGGGAGUCAGGUUUUAGGGUUUGGUUUUGUCUGAUGAACUUCUCAAGUAUUUUAUUUGAUAAUUUCUUAUAUCCUUUUUGACAUAUAACUAUUUUAAACAUAUUCUUAUUCUUAAAUUUCAAAUUUACAAACUCCAGUUUCUUCUCUGAACUGGAAAGAAUCCAAAUGUUAAAAACAUGUCAUAUACUAAUAUUUACUUUAUAUACAUGUAGGGACUAUUUCUUUCAUGAAAACAUUGGCCAAACGUACUGACUUGGGCAUAUCUGUGAUACAUUAAAAGAUCCUUACUUUUAACAUUGGAUUCCGAGCAUGCAGCAGUUUUUACAAAAAAACUAUAUGGAAAAAAAAAAAUCUGUAAUACAAAAAUGAUGGGGAUGGGUAUAAUGGAUCACUUCCACCAUCAUUUGCCAUGGAACAAAGCUAGAUGUCCAACCUUUCCUAAGUCAGGAGCCUGUUAUCGACUGUUUGUUGCUGUUUGUCAUAUAACAAAUUGGUGUACUGUAAAUUACUUUAAUACAUCAGUUCGAUUGUUUUCUCUUUUUGUUAUCCAGGGGCAAUUCAUACCUUACUAUACUUAUGUGUUUGGUUUAUUAUUGAAGGCAUUACAUUGACAUGUGAUUGCUUACAUUCUUGACCUUCUGUAUGUGGCAGAUAGUUGUCUCAUUUGCAAUCAUACGAUGUCUCCUUAUUGUUUUAUAACUAUAUAAAACGAUGAGGAGAAAAUAAAAUCCAUUUCAUAUUUAUUAUUCAAAUUAUGCAUGUCAAAAACAUAUGAUCAGAUUACUGUUCUUCCUUUAAUUAUUCUUCUACUGUUGACUAGACGUUUAAGGAAGUUCCCCAUCAUGUGACUCAUUGUGAUUUCAUCAUAAUAGGUCCUUACAACAUAGCUUUUAUUCUCCUUGUGUUUUUUUUUUAACCUGUCGUAAAGAUUUAAUUUAUAUUUUGUAUAAGUGUUAGAUUGAUUUGAUUCUUUAUUUUUUAUUAUUUCCGUGCUUAUUCAAAUAAAUAAUUUCAUGAAUAGAAAUCAUAUAGGUUAACAAAUAUCACAUAAAUACACUUCAUACUAUUAAAAAUUUAUGUUAAAAACUCAAAUCUAAAACAAUGUUUAGAGUGAUGUUUGUUUGACAUCAUAAGAUAUCUUUAUUAUGAGUUCACUGAGAUUAAUAAUUUUGCCUCAUCAACGUGAUUAAUUGUCAAUUAAGUUAUCAAACAUGUUUAGUAGCUGGUACAUAAUUUCACUGUAGAUGUUAUGUGAAGUACAUGAAAACAGCCAAUUAAUUCCAGACCAUAUAGUUAAAAUCUACCAACACAACUUGCCAUACUGCAGAGACCUCUAGAUAUUUUUUAAGUAAACUUAUGUUGUUUAAUUUCUGUCUUGUCUUUACAUAUAAAUCACUCUUCUAUUGGUUCAUAUGUAUGUCCACUUGGUUAAGCAUCGAUGACUACACACUUUGCAUUACCCAACCGUAAUUAUCAAGAUUCUUUCGUUGGUGUGCUUUCCUUUCAUAGUGUUCAGUAUGGUGCUUGUACUUCAGAUUUUAAAUAUUCUCAUCUUGAUAUUGUGACAUAUCUAAACUGUAUCAUAUAUUGGACUCGUACUCUAUUUAGAACAAAUAAUGUAUUUUUAUAGUUGUUAACUUUUUAAAUAUCUCUGUUUUACAAAUUAUAUUUAAUUAAUGUAAGAAUGUUUAGUGUUUUUUUAUUUUGCCUUUAUGUAAUUUACUCCAGCGAUCGUAGUUUCAAUUCCCAACAGGCCACGAUCAGAAUUUGGUAUUUGCUGCUUCUCUGAAAGGCUAAUUUAAGAGCAUUUUGAAAAAGAGAAAAAGAUUCGUCGACUCUGAAUCAAUUUAUUGUAUCCGAGUUUGAGAGUGUGUCUUCAAUAAACAUAUCC
rnacentral:lncRNA from 1 species